rnacentral:sRNA from 1 species
GCCAGGCGCAGUGGCGCACACCUGUCAUCCCAGCAGCCUGGGAGGCUGAGGCAGGAGGCUCUCGAGUUCAAAGCCAGCCUCAGAAAAGUGAGGCACUAAGAAACUCAGCAAGACCCUGUCUCUA